GAUGAACGCUGGCGGCGUGCCUAAUACAUGCAAGUCGAGCGAACAGACGAGGAGCUUGCUCCUCUGACGUUAGCGGCGGACGGGUGAGUAACACGUGGAUAACCUACCUAUAAGACUGGGAUAACUUCGGGAAACCGGAGCUAAUACCGGAUAAUAUAUUGAACCGCAUGGUUCAAUAGUGAAAGACGGUUUUGCUGUCACUUAUAGAUGGAUCCGCGCCGCAUUAGCUAGUUGGUAAGGUAACGGCUUACCAAGGCAACGAUGCGUAGCCGACCUGAGAGGGUGAUCGGCCACACUGGAACUGAGACACGGUCCAGACUCCUACGGGAGGCAGCAGUAGGGAAUCUUCCGCAAUGGGCGAAAGCCUGACGGAGCAACGCCGCGUGAGUGAUGAAGGUCUUCGGAUCGUAAAACUCUGUUAUUAGGGAAGAACAAAUGUGUAAGUAACUAUGUACGUCUUGACGGUACCUAAUCAGAAAACCACGGCUAACUACGU
rnacentral:rRNA from 1 species